AUCGCGCAAUUAAAGGACGCAUCUGCAUGCAAUCCCAUCUAAUCAAUCUCCUCGAUCCAAAAUCCUGGAAUUUCUUAGCGCUAGACCCUACACAAAAAAGUCCCUGGAAACAAACACCCCCUCAGCCUCUCUAUUCUUGUUCCUCCUGGAGUCCUGGACAAUCUAGACCUAAACCUGCCACCGAUCCGUCAUCCGUGAUGGAGCCCAAGAGUUGGAAGGGCAUGUGAUCGAUCUGAACUACGAUCUCAGGAGUCAGACACUGUUGCCGUCAGUUGUCUGCCGGGCCGGUGGGAACUACAAUUGUGUUGCUCUCCUACCGCCUACCCUCACUUGGCGGCACCUAUGGUCGACAUCAGCGAGAGAAUAGGACCCCUACAAGCGUGUGAAGCCCUGCAGAUGCAGGGAGUUCGACCUAGAGGAUUGUGCCCGCGGGAGUCGAUCAUUUGCUGCUGCAAGGACAGAGCGUCGGUUCCUACGCCAUGUACGCCCCCGCUAGGAGAUCCCUUAUGACGCCCCGGUACGUUGUGUGCUCGCUACUGGUUUUUGCCAUCUUCGACCUUCUCCUCUGGUGCCGCCUUGGCCUUGGGCGACGACCAUCGCCUCCCAUCUGAGUCACUCCAGGACGAAUGGGUGCUUUAUGGUUGCAUUGCGGGCAUCCGCAUGCGUAGGAAGCCGGCUGCAGCGAGUUCAUCAGUAGCGUGCACGGUGCACCAGUCGUAUUGAUGACGAGUCAGAGAGUCGUGAGGAAGAUUUCCGGGAACAUAACAAUGUCCCUAUAGGUUCCAAGAAUGAGAAGAAAAUGCAAGAGAGAGGCGUGCAGUGUUAGGUUGCACUGCCGCGUUCUUUUAUCAUGGGAGCAGUAUUUGUACCGCUGAACCUGAAUGUCCCAAUGUAUUAUUGAUCGGCAGCAUGAAUGGGCUGAUCAGGCGAGGUUUGUCAUAAUA